GAUGAACGCUGGCGGCGUGCCUAAUACAUGCAAGUCGAGCGAACGGACGAGAAGCUUGCUUCUCUGAUGUUAGCGGCGGACGGGUGAGUAACACGUGGAUAACCUACCUAUAAGACUGGGAUAACUUCGGGAAACCGGAGCUAAUACCGGAUAAUAUUUUGAACCGCAUGGUUCAAAAGUGAAAGACGGUCUUGCUGUCACUUAUAGAUGGAUCUGCGCUGCAUUAGCUAGUUGGUAAGGUAACGGCUUACCAAGGCAACGAUGCAUAGCCGACCUGAGAGGGUGAUCGGCCACACUGGAACUGAGACACGGUCCAGACUCCUACGGGAGGCAGCAGUAGGGAAUCUUCCGCAAUGGGCGAAAGCCUGACGGAGCAACGCCGCGCGAGUGAUGAAGGUCUUCGGAUCGUAAAACUCUGUUAUUAGGGAAGAACAUAUGUGUAAGUAACUGUGCACAUCUUGACGGUACCUAAUCAGAAAGCCACGGCUAACUACGUG
rnacentral:rRNA from 1 species